CGUAGGUGGCAAGCGUUGUCCGGAUUUAUUGGGUUUAAAGGGUGCGUAGGCGGCCCUGUAAGUCAGUGCUGAAAUAUCCCGGCUUAACCGGGAGGGUGGCAUUGAUACUGCAGGGCUUGAGUAAAGUUGAGGUAGGCGGAAUUGACGGUGUAGCGGUGAAAUGCUUAGAUAUCGUCAAGAACACCGAUAGUGUAGACAGCUUACUAAGCUUUAACUGACGCUGAGGCACGAAAGUGUGGGGAUCAAACAGGAUUAGAUACCCUGGUAGUCCACGCUGUAAACGUUGAAGACUCGCUGUUGGCGACACACAGUCAGCGGCUGAGAGAAAUCGUUAAGUCUUCCACCUGGGGAGUACGCCGGCAACGGUG
rnacentral:rRNA from 1 species